rnacentral:lncRNA from 1 species
GUUCCAGAGGAAUGCAGAGCUUGACCCAGAAAAGAGACUGUACCCAGGUGGGAGCUACUUCGACCCUCUUGGUUUAGCCUCAGACCCAGAGAAGAAAGCCACUCUUCAAUUGGCAGAGAUCAAGCACGCACGUCUUGCCAUGGUGGGCUUCUUGGGCUUUGCAGUCCAAGCUGCUGCCACUGGCAAGGGCCCACUCAACAACUGGGCCACCCACUUGAGUGACCCACUUCACACAACCAUCAUUGACACCUUCUCCUCGUCUUCUUAAGAAAAAAGUCUUGUGCCUCGUGGGUAAAUUGUAAACGUCUUUCGGCUUUGGGUUGUAAUUAAUCAAACAUUUCACUUAUAGCUGGUA